rnacentral:rRNA from 1 species
CAGCCGCCGCGGUAAUACGUAGGUGGCAAGCGUUAUCCGGAUUUAUUGGGCGUAAAGCGCGUCUAGGUGGUUACAUAAGUCUGAUGUGAAAAUGCAGGGCUCAACUCUGUAUUGCGUUGGAAACUGUAUAACUAGAGUACUGGAGAGGUAGGCGGAACUACAAGUGUAGAGGUGAAAUUCGUAGAUAUUUGUAGGAAUGCCGAUGGGGAAGCCAGCUUACUGGACAGAUACUGACGCUGAAGCGCGAAAGCGUGGGUAGCAAACAGGAUUAGAUACCCCUGUAGUCCCUGUCUCUUAUACA